rnacentral:rRNA from 1 species
GUGGGGAAUAUUGCACAAUGGGCGCAAGCCUGAUGCAGCAACGCCGCGUGAGGGACGACGGCCUUCGGGUUGUAAACCUCUUUUAGUAGGGAAGAAGCGAAAGUGACGGUACCUGCAGAAAAAGCACCGGCUAACUACGUGCCAGCAGCCGCGGUAAUACGUAGGGUGCAAGCGUUAUCCGGAAUUAUUGGGCGUAAAGAGCUCGUAGGCGGUUUGUCACGUCUGCUGUGAAAACUGGAGGCUCAACCUCCAGCCUGCAGUGGGUACGGGCAGACUAGAGUGCGGUAGGGGAGAUUGGAAUUCCUGGUGUAGCGGUGGAAUGCGCAGAUAUCAGGAGGAACACCGAUGGCGAAGGCAGAUCUCUGGGCCGUAACUGACGCUGAGGAGCGAAAGCAUGGGGAGCGAACAGGAUUAGAAACCCUAGUAGUCC